CGUACGAGAGCGUAUAAUGCAAGUCGAGCGGACAGAUGGGAGCUUGCUCCCUGAUGUUAGCGGCGGACGGGUGAAUAACACGUGGUUAACCUGCCUGUAAGACUGGGAUAACUCCGGGAAACCGGGGCUAAUACCGGAUGCUUGUUUGAACCGCAUGGUUCAAACAUAAAAGGUGGCUUCGGCUACCACUUACAGAUGGACCCGCGGCGCAUUAGCUAGUUGGUGAGGUAAUGGCUCACCAAGGCAACGAUGCGUAGCCGACCUGAGAGGGUGAUCGGCCACACUGGGACUGAGACACGGCCCAGACUCCUACGGGAGGCAGCAGUAGGGAAUCUUCCGCAAUGGACGAAAGUCUGACGGAGCAACGCCGCGUGAGUGAUGAAGGUUUUCGGAUCGUAAAGCUCUGUUGUUAGGGAAGAACAAGUGCCGUUCAAAUAGGGCGGCACCUUGACGGUACCUAACCAGAAAGCCACGGCUAACUACGUGCCAGCAGCCGCGGUAAUACGUAGGUGGCAAGCGUUGUCCGGAAUUAUUGGGCGUAAAGGGCUCGCAGGCGGUUUCUUAAGUCUGAUGUGAAAGCCCCCGGCUCAACCGGGGAGG
rnacentral:rRNA from 1 species